GAUGAAGAACGUAGCGAAAUGCGAUAAGUAAUGUGAAUUGCAGAAUUCAGUGAAUCAUCGAAUCUUUGAACGCACAUUGCGCCCGCCAGUAUUCUGGCGGGCAUGCCUGUCCGAGCGUCAUUUCAACCCUCGAACCCCUCCGGGGGGUCGGCGUUGGGGACCUCGGGAGCCCCUAAGACGGGAUCCCGGCCCCGAAAUACAGUGGCGGUCUCGCCGCAGCCUCUCCUGCGCAGUAGUUUGCACAACUCGCACCGGGAGCGCGGCGCGUCCACGUCCGUAAAACACCCAACUUCUGAAAUGUUGACCUCGGAUCAAGUAGGAAUACCCGCUGAACUUAAGCAUAUCAAUAAGCGGAGGA
rnacentral:misc_RNA from 1 species